AAAGCGAUCGGGGAAACUAAAGAAAACGGAGAAAAACAAAAUACAAACCGGAAUAAAAACAAAACGCUGGGAAACCCUGAAAAUAAAAGGUGGGUUAAGCAUGAAACCUGACACAGAGCUGCUGUCAGGCCCCAACACAGCCAGCUCAUCUUUAUGCUCUCUGGCAAGCUGACAUUUCCACUAAUUGAAUAAAUGGACACUUCGGAGGACCUUUUGCAGUCCAAUAAUGUUGUCCUGUUUAAAGGUCAGCAUGUGACCUUAAGCUACAUUCUAAUUUGAAGCUGCUGGUGAUCCUCUGACUGGAUUAAACACUGUGUCAGUUUGUUAGGUGUCCUUGUGACAAACAUUUGCUUCCAUUAGGUCAACAAACAAUGUAAAACAUGAUCUAAACAUGAAUUAAAAUCCUCUCCUCUAUCACUGUGUAGGGGCAUCGACCAGCCAGCAGAGGCCACAAUUGCAGCAGUAAUGAAAAAUCUUUUUGACUCUCCCACCCACCAGACGUAGCCAGUCGUGUCAGCUGAUAUUUGAACUGUGAUCUCAGUGAUUUGAUAUUAGCCAGAUGCACCACUAUAGUACCCAAAACAACUACAUUUCAAAUAAGUUUGUAAAUGUAAUAGAUUUAAAACAACAGCAUGUAUUGCAGAAUUCUGGAAAAGCAUUGGACAGUUGGGAUAGACAAGAUGUUUAUUCACCUAGUUUAGCACUUCCAUCUAUGGUUAGAUGUGGCUCAUAUUGUUUAAUCUAUGCUGUCCAAAAAUUAUUUGACAAUAUUUAAAAACAUGUUUUUUUUUUUUUUAGUUUAGCCAGGAGCUUAGGAUGAACCCAUGAAAACUUAAAGGCUUUUACUUGCCCACAUUUAAUGCUCCUCUCCUCCUGUAGGUUUUUCCACUAGAGUUUGGAGUAUGACUGCAAGUAUUCACUUCAGUUCUUCAGCUCUUCUAAUAAAUGUUCAACCCAUUUCUGUCCAUCAGACUUCCACAUGCAUGGUUUUAUGCACUAGUUAGAUAACCAAUCUACAAUGUUGCUUAAUUUUUACCCAUUUGCAUUUUAAGUCCAGUCUGGGAGUCUUAUAGUCAAUAUAGAAUAUACGGCCAUAAGUAUGACACCCAACCUUGUGCUUGUAGGACGACGUUUCAUUCCAAAAACGUGAGCAUUAAUAUGAAUUUGUCCCUUUUUAUCAUUAACAACCUCAACUCUUUUUUAAGCAUUUUCCUUCCUAUUUAGUUGUAUCCAAUUACCCGAUCGCAUUACCCGACCUCCACUCCUGACUGAGGAGAGACGUGACUAACACAUGCCCCCUCCUAAACAUCGUGCAUUGAUAUCCAUUAUCCCCCGUCUCAGUGCAGGCACCAUCAAUCAGCCAGCAAAGGUUAUAAUUGCUGAGAAAUCAUACCCAUGGACAAGCCAAUCAUUGUCCAUAUACAGGCCCAGCUUGCCGAUAGCAGAGUAGAGAUUCAAACUCACGAGUUUGACAUAUCAGUUCUAGUGUGCACCAUAACAGCUUCAACUCAGCUUGGAAGGUUUUGCAUUGUGUGUUUGGGAAUUUUCAACCAUCAGGUCAAAAGAACAUUUGUGAAGUCAGUCAGACACUGAUAAUCUACAUUCCAAUUCAUCCCAAUGACAUUUUUAAGUAUUUUUUUUUUAACCUGCAACAGGUGCAACAGAUUCCAUAAGAUUUUCUUAUGGAAUCAAGGUGUUACUGGACAGUUAGGCAUGUAGGACAAAAUAGGAUCGAUUCUACUUUUUUACUGGCAAAUUUUAACAAAAGUUGCAAUUUUGUAGUCCCUAUGUGAUCUUACACCGUCUGGCCCAUAGUACCUGGGUUGUAUCAGUACUAGGUGAUGCUGUGUGUUCCACCCCGGUGGGAAUCAGACGACGCUGUGUGAUACCGUCUGCCCCAUAGUACCUGUGUUGUGUCAGUACUAGGUGAUGCUGUGUGUUCCACCCCGGUGGGAAUCAGACAACGCUGUGUGAUACCGUCUGGCCCAUAGUACUAGAAAAGGUGAUGCUGUGUGUUCCACCUGACCCGUAGUUUAAGGAUAAACAGUAAAGACGUCUGGGACGCCUGUCUAUGUAAGACAGAGAUAUCACCAUGGAUGAAAUCGCUAUAUGAGCGUCAUUGUGUGGCAGUAGAACUGGAACACUGUUCUAUUGGUGACGACCGGUAGUAUAAGUUACUUUGUCUGCUGUCAGUCUGUGGGAUAGUGUUAGUAUUUAGUAUUGUAAUUUGCCUGUUAAUAUAUACAAAUAAUCCCUUAUAAUAACGUGUAUCUCUCUUGUUUUAAUUUCAUAUUCUCUAAAUUGUAGGGUAUAUUUUACUAUAUUUUCUUUUAAUGUUUCAUGUUCUUAAUUUUUUAUCUCUUUUGUUUGAAUUUCAUGUUGUCUUAAUUGUAACUAAAUGUUUGCAAGAAGUCUUUCUGAGGUUCUAGAUCUCAGGAAUGUUUUAAUGCUUUUAAUAAAAAAUUUUUUCCUUAUGUAAAGCACUUUGAAUUGCCACUGUGUAUGAAAGGUGCUAUACAAAUAAACUUGCCUUGCCUUGCACUACCACAAAA